rnacentral:rRNA from 1 species
AGAGUUUGAUCAUGGCUCAGGAUGAACGCUGACAGAAUGCUUAACACAUGCAAGUCAACUUGAACUUCGGUUUGGGUGGCGGACGGGUGAGUAACGCGUAAAGAACUUGCCUCACAGUUAGGGACAACAUUUGGAAACGAAUGCUAAUACCUGAUAUUAUGAUUUUAGGGCAUCCUAGGAUUAUGAAAGCUAUAGGCGCUGUGAGAGAGCUUUGCGUCCCAUUAGCUAGUUGGAGAGGUAACGGCUCACCAAGGCGAUGAUGGGUAGCCGGCCUGAGAGGGUGAACGGCCACAAGGGGACUGAGACACGGCCCUUACUCCUACGGGAGGCAGCA